AGCUUGUAUGGCCAAUUAACACAGAAGCAGUAGCAUUUGCCAGUUUCAAGUAGUUAUGACCUGACUUUUUGUAUUAUUCAAGUUUCUUGAGGUUCACUCAUGUAAGUAGUUUUUAAAGGGUAAAGGGGACGUUGAGGCGUCAUGAUGAGGUAAAGCAAGCAUUGAGGCGUCUUGAUGAGGUAAAGGGGGCGUUGAGGCGUCGUGAUGAGGUAAAGCAAGCAUUGAGGCGUCGUGAUGAGGUAAAGGGGCGUUGAGGCGUCGUGAUGAGGUAAAGGGGGUUGAGGCGUCAUGAUGAGGUAAAGCAAGCAUUGAGGCGUCGUGAUGAGGUAAAGGGUACGUUGAGGCAUCGUGAUGAGGUAAAGGGGGCGUUGAGGCAUUGUGAUGAGGUAAAGGGGCGUUGAGGCGUCAUGAUGAGAUAAAGCAAGCAUUGAGGCGUCGUGAUGAGGUAAAGGGGGCAUUGAGGCAUCGUGAUUAGGUAAAGGGGCGUUGAAGCGUCGUGAUAAGGUAAAAGGGGCGUUGAGGCGUCAUGAUGAGGUAAAGGGGCAUUGAGGCGUCGUGAUGAGGUAAAGCAAGCGUUGAGGAUGAGGUAAAGCAAGCAUUGAGGCGUCGUGAUGAGGUAAAGGGGGUGUUGAGGCGUCGUGAUGCGGUAAAGGGGCGUUGAGGCGUCGUGAUUAGGUAAAGGGGCGUUGAGGUGUCGUGAUUAGGUAAAGGGGCGUUGAGGCGUCGUGAUGAGGUAAAGUGUUACAAUGGCGGCAGUCAGAUGCAAAGAUCUACCACAGUGUGAGCCCAGAAUGUGGAGUAAACAGGCCAGUUACAUUAAACUCUAGUGAGAAGGAAUUUUAGUCUGAGUUACAGUAAUUAUGGUUCCAUGACCUAUCUAUGAAAAGAUCAGACAAUCUAAUUUCUCAUGUCAUGAGCCCCUCAACAAUGGCAUAAUACAAGGUUGUUGUUGUUUUUUUAUCAAAGUGUGCUACUGGGCUGUUCUAAUCACUUGUUUAGAAAGACGAUCAUAUUGACGUGGGCAGGGAUCAGUGUGAUACGCAGCCAGUUGAUGGUUGAAAAUACAUGUU